GAAAAGGGAACUUCUCACUUUAUCUUCUUUCCUUACACUGAAUUUAAGCUCAUCUCUGGGGUGGAGAAGGUAGAGACUUAGCAUCUUGUGAGCUGUCAAGGAGGAAAAACUGGGAAAAAAUGCCCCAGCAAUUAGCAUGUUCCUAAUGCACACCUGAUUUUAGUAAAAGCUGUCAAGUCUGCUAGCAAGUUCAUUUCCAAGUACUAUAUUUAGGGAUGCGUCUUGCAGUGACAUAUGUGGAGGAUGACGCAUGGAUCAGUCUCAUUCCUGCAUGGGAAACUUCCAGUCUGUGCUGCUUUCACUGGCUGGAAUAAAUGAGCACCCUCCUGGUGAUUCCAUCAGGCCAUGUGAGCAGGAAAUAUGCAGGUCCUUGGGAGCUGCAGGAGUGCAGGAUUGUGUAACUCAUUGGCAAAAGUGUGUGUAUCUAUUGGCAAUCUAUUGUCAAGUUUAGGUCCAGACCAGUAAUGGUGUUUAAUCACCAACCUCUUUGUAAUUACACUGGAGGCCAACCUCUCCAACGUGUGCUUCAGCAUCGUGCAUCCAGAGUGUGUGUCCUAGCAUCAAAAUAUCCCAGCAUCAUCAGGGUACUUCAGCGCACAGAGGCUGCUGUCUAUGAGGUCUUUAUGCAGCUAUCUAUCCCAGACAGGAAAACCACAGCCUUCAGAAGGGGAGGAGGAUGCCUCCAGUUCAGCUCUAAGAGGGGACAAAAUCCUGUAUUUCCUUUUAAUUGAUUUUUUUAACUCUGCCCUUCUAAAAAGGCUGAACUAAAACCCAAGGCCACGUAGGUACGAAACAGAGCAACCCACGUCAGCAAGGAGCUUGCUCUUCAUCAG